GGCUUUUUCUAGUACGAAAGGACCGAAAAAGCGUGGCCAAUGACACAUUAAGCCAUAUUAAUAAUUUAUGACUUCCACUUAAUUAUUAAAAAACCUCUUAUUCUACUCAAAACAAGAGAA
rnacentral:rRNA from 1 species